UCAUGUGGUUUUCCCAGGCCAGAGAGCUGUGAGUCUCAUUUGCAUCAGUAGCACACCAGCCCUUUGCCCUGGCAGCUGGUAGUUCAAUUCACUGUACCAGGCAGGAAAGCUGACAUUACACUUUUGCUCUCCAGAAAAGAUCUUGCUUUGAUCCCUGACUCCCUAUCUAUUGGAAAUUCACCCACAUGGGAAAUAGUUUCAGUGAUGUUUUCCUACCACAAAAAACAUUCUGCUGUCAUUAGUGCUGCUUAGGGAAAACCUGGCUUUCAGCAAAACCUCAUCAAACACAGGCUGUGAGCUGUGUCAAGUGUCAUGGUGCUAAGAGAUCGGAUACAGUAGGAUGCAGUGAUGGAAAAAUUGUAGGCAGCUGCCCCAACAGUUCUACUUCCCUCAAAUGGACACACAGGGCUGUCUGCAUGCAAACAGCUGCCCCUCCUUGCUCUUUAAAGGAAAGCAUUUUAACAAAUUACAAGGGGAUCAUGAGCAUGAUUCUUUCAAGAAAAAAGCCAUGGAGGAAGUCAUAGGAUUUUAAGUACACAUACAUUUUAAGUAUACAUACAUGUGUAGCUCUCCUCUGUGUGUAGAAGAAGGAGAAAGUAUGUGUCACACUGCAAACAAUGACAAAGGAUGGGAGCUCUCACCAGAAAUGAUAACCUCUAUAUCAAAAUGAUUGCAACUCCUUCUGUAUUUUCAGUUCUGCAGAGGAUGGACGAUGAACACACUCUGGGGAUGGAGUGUGCUCUCUACAGAGAAGACUGACUAUCGAUUUGAAUGUAGACUACUGAUAUUUUCAAGACUGAAUUCUCGUGGUGGUAAAGUCUAUGUUUGCAAGAUCCAGUCCUGCAGAUCUUCCAGUGAAUUUCAUCCCUGCUCAGUUUGCCUGAUUGCUG